UGGGAGCAACUCCUCACAAAACCCAUGAAUCAACUCCACAUGCCCUGGGUCAACCCCUGGCACCCAUAACGAUUUCACAGAGAACCUCAACAAGACCUGGGAUAUCUAAAGUAAAACAAGAGCAGCCAC